rnacentral:rRNA from 1 species
AGUGAACGCUGGCGGUAGGCCUAACACAUGCAAGUCGAACGGCAGCACAGUAAGAGCUUGCUCUUACGGGUGGCGAGUGGCGGACGGGUGAGGAAUACAUCGGAAUCUACUUUUUCGUGGGGGAUAACGUAGGGAAACUUACGCUAAUACCGCAUACGACCUACGGGUGAAAGCAGGGGAUCUUCGGACCUUGCGCGAUUGAAUGAGCCGAUGUCGGAUUAGCUGGUUGGCGGGGUAAAGGCCCACCAAGGCGACGAUCCGUAGCUGGUCUGAGAGGAUGAUCAGCCACACUGGAAAUGAGACACGGUCCAGACUCCUACGGGAGGCAGCAGUGGGGAAUAUUGGACAAUGGGCGCAAGCCUGAUCCAGCCAUACCGCGUGGGUGAAGAAGGCCUUCGGGUUGUAAAGCCCUUUUGUUGGGAAAGAAAAGCAGAAGGUUAAUACCCCGCUGUUCUGACGGUACCCAAAGAAUAAGCACCGGCUAACUUCGUG